UACAGAGGUGGCAAGCGUUGUUCGGAAUUACUGGGCGUAAAGGGCUCGUAGGUGGCCAACUAAGUCAGACGUGAAAUCCCUAGGCUCAACCUAGGAACUGCGUCUGAUACUGGAUGGCUUGAAUCCGGGAGAGGGAUGCAGAAUUCCAGGUGUAGCGGUGAAAUGCGUAGAUAUCUGGAGGAAUACCGGUGGCGAAGGCGGCAUCCUGGACCGGCAUUGACGCUGAGGAGCGAAAGCCAGGGGAGCAAACGGG
rnacentral:rRNA from 1 species